CACGGAGUUAGCCGAUCCUUAUUCUUCCAGUACAUUCAGCUAGAUACACGUAUCUAGGUUUAUUCCUGGACAAAAGCAGUUUACAACCCAUAGGGCAGUCAUCCUGCACGCGGCAUGGCUGGUUCAGGCUUCCGCCCAUUGACCAAUAUUCCUUACUGCUGCCUCCCGUAGGAGUCUGGUCCGUGUCUCAGUACCAGUGUGGGGGAUUCUCCUCUCAGAGCCCCUAGACAUCGUCGCCUUGGUAAGCCGUUACCCUACCAACUAGCUAAUGUCACGCGAGCCCAUCUCUAUCCUAUAAAUAUUUAAUAAUUCCUCGAUGCCGGGAAAUUAUAUUAUGCGGUGUUAAUCUCUCUUUCGAGAGGCUAUCCCCCUGAUAGAGGUAGGUUGCUCACGCGUUACGCACCCGUGCGCCACUCUCACCAUCUUCGAGCAAGCUCUCCGAUGGAUCCCGUCCGACUUGCAUGUAUUAGGCCUGCCGCUAGCGUUC
rnacentral:rRNA from 1 species